rnacentral:rRNA from 1 species
GACGAAGGAUGCAAGCGUUAUCCGGAUUCAUUGGGUUUAAAGGGUGCGUAGGCGGACUGAUAAGUCAGUGGUGAAAUCUCUCAUCUUAACUGAGAAACUGCCAUUGAUACUGUCAGUCUAGAGUAUAGAUGACGUUGGCGGAAUAUGACAUGUAGUGGUGAAAUACUUAGAUAUGUCAUAGAACACCGAUUGCGAAGGCAGCUAACGAAACUAUAACUGACGCUGAGGCACGAAAGUGCGGGGAUCAAACAGG